AGAGAGCCCUCAUCGUCAUCUUCUUCAUGUUCUGCAGGGGAUGGAGGAGGACGUAAGGAGCGUCUUCUGUCAGGUUCAGUCCAAUGGCGUAAAAACCAGCUGGAAAAACAACAGACAAAGACAGCAUACUGCCUCAGGUACACGAUCACCUUCUUAGGAUCUGGGCUGUCGGCGUACCUGGAGACAGAACAUCCACACAAGUGUGAAGAGAAGUCUGCAGCAGAGAUGUUAGUGUUGUUACACAAGGUGUUACAGAAACCUAAGUUAGCAAAAUGUGGUCAAGUCUGCAACUAAAAAAGUGAGAUAAUUGUGAGCUUAUGCUUGACUUUGGUGCAUGACAAUGCAGACAUGAUCUGAAACACAUUACAGCAGGUCACGGGAGAUGUGAGCUUAAAACAUCCCUGCUUUGCUUUUACCAGUAAGGUAUUCCAGUCCACAGCUCAGGGUGCUGCAGCACCAUUUGCUGGUUGUCAUAGGAAACAACAACCUGCUGACCUCUGGACCAACAGGAACGCAGAGUUGGAGUGUCCUGCAUGUAAACACCUCAGUUACCUGUGAGGAGCAGAGUUUCUUCCCAAACAACCAGAUGAUGAACUUCACAAGGUGGACGUGAUCUUCAUCAGUCAGUGAUUCAAAGUGGGAGCAAGAAAUUAUUAAAAUCUCUUGUGGAUGAGCGUCCAACCAG